rnacentral:rRNA from 1 species
UACGUAGGGGGCAAGCGUUGUCCGGAUUUAUUGGGCGUAAAGAGCGUGUAGGCGGCCUGGCAGGUCAGCUGUGAAAACUCGAGGCUCAACCUCGAGACGCCGGUUGAAACCAUCUGGCUAGAGUCCGGAAGAGGAGAGUGGAAUUCCUGGUGUAGCGGUGAAAUGCGCAGAUAUCAGGAAGAACACCCGUGGCGAAGGCGGCUCUCUGGGACGUGACUGACGCUGAGACGCGAAAGCGUGGGGAGCGAACAGG